GCAUGCAAGUCGUACGGGACCGGGCAACUGGUCCAGUGGCGAACGGGUGAGUAGCGCGUGGGAAACCUACCCUUGAGAUGGGGAUAACACCUCCAACGGGGUGCUAAUACCGGAUAAGACCACAGAGUCGCAUGGCUCAGCGGUCAAAGGUGGCCUCUACUUGUAAGCUACCACUUAAGGAUGGUCCCGCGUCCCAUUAGCUAGUUGGUAGGGUAAUGGCCUACCAAGGCGACGAUGGGUAGCUGGUCUGAGAGGAUGGUCAGCCACACUGGGACUGAGAUACGGCCCAGACUCCUACGGGAGGCAGCAGUCGAGAGGCUUCGGCAAUGGGGGAAACCCUGACCGAGCGACGCCGCGUGGGCGAUGAAGGCCGUUAGGUUGUAAAGCCCUGUCGAGCGGGAAGAAACGUAGGCGGGUGAACAAUCCGUCUAUCUGACGGUACCGUUAAAGGAAGCUCCGGCCAACUCCGUGCCAGCAGCCGCGGUAAUACGGGGGGAGCAAACGUUGUUCGGAAUUACUGGGCGUAAAGGGCGUGCAGGCGGUCUUGUAAGAGAGUUGUGAAAUGCCCUGGCUCAACCAGGGACAUGCACCUCUGACUGCAGGACUUGAGUAUAGGAGAGGAUGGGGGAAUUCCCGGUGUAGCGGUGAAAUGCAUUGAUAUCGGGAGGAACACCAGUGGCGAAGGCGCCCAUCUGGCCUAAUACUGACGCUGAGGCGCGAAAGCUAGGGGAGCAAACAGGAUUAGAUACCCUGGUAGUCCUAGCCGUAAACGGUGGGCACUAGGUGUAGGAGGCAUCGACCCCUCCUGUGCCGCAGCUAACGCAUUAAGUGCCCCGCCUGGGGAGUACGA
rnacentral:rRNA from 1 species